rnacentral:rRNA from 2 species
CUCCAUCAAUCAGUGGCGGACGGGUGAGUAACACGUGAGCAACCUGCCUUUCGGAGGGGGACAACAGUUGGAAAUGACUGCUAAUACCGCGUAACGUUGCGAGACCGCAUGGUCAUGCAACCAAAGGAGCAAUCCGUCGAAAGAUGGGCUCGCGUCCGAUUAGAUAGUUGGUGAGGUAACGGCCCACCAAGUCGACGAUCGGUAGCCGGACUGAGAGGUUGACCGGCCACAUUGGGACUGAGAUACGGCCCAGACUCCUACGGGAGGCAGCAGUGGGGGGUAUUGCACAAUGGGGGAAACCCUGAUGCAGCGAUGCCGCGUGAGGGAAGAAGGUUUUCGGAUUGUAAACCUCUGUGGAGGGGGACGAUAAUGACGGUACCCCUAAGGAAGCCACGGCUAACUACGUGCCAGCAGCCGCGGUAAUGCGUAGGUGGCGAGCGUUGUCCGGAAUUACUGGGUGUAAAGGGAGCGUAGGCGGGAGUGCAAGUCAGAAGUGAAAACUAUGGGCUCAACCCAUAGCCUGCUUUUGAAACUGUACUUCUUGAGUGAGUCAGAGGCAAGCGGAAUUCCCAGUGUAGCGGUGAAAUGCGUAGAUAUUGGGAGGAACACCAGUGGCGAAGGCGGCUUGCUGGGGCUUUACUGACGCUGAGGCUCGAAAGCGUGGGGAGCAAACAGGAUUAGAUACCCUGGUAGUCCUCGCCGUAAACGAUGAUUACUAGGUGUGGGGUGAGAAC